rnacentral:rRNA from 1 species
CCUACGGGUGGCAGCAGUGAGGAAUAUUGGUCAAUGGACGAGAGUCUGAACCAGCCAAGUAGCGUGAAGGAUGACUGCCCUAUGGGUUGUAAACUUCUUUUAUAUGGGAAUAAAAUGUUCCACGUGUGGGAUUUUGUAUGUAUCAUAUGAAUAAGGAUCGGCUAACUCCGUGCCAGCAGCCGCGGUAAUACGGAGGAUCCGAGCGUUAUCCGGAUUUAUUGGGUUUAAAGGGAGCGUAGGUGGAUUGUUAAGUCAGUUGUGAAAGUUUGCGGCUCAACCGUAAAAUUGCAGUUGAAACUGGCAGUCUUGAGUGCAGUAGAGGUGGGCGGAAUUCGUGGUGUAGCGGUGAAAUGCUUAGAUAUCACGAAGAACUCCGAUUGCGAAGGCAGUUCACUGGACUGCAACUGACACUGAGGCUCGAAAGUGUGGGUAUCAAACAGGAUUAGAUACCCCUGUAGUC